AAAAAAAGUUGCCCUCUGCUGUGGACUAGUUGUACAUCCCCUCCUCUCCUGAUUUCGAGCACCUGAAUUCUUUUGUAGGGGGUUACACCACAGAUGGGCCCCCCAGAUGACAUUCGUUUUGACCUUCCCCCUAAGAACCUGUCUAGGCUAAAAAUAGGUUCUUAUUACCAGUUUAUGUUUGUAUUCUUAAUACCGCAAAAAUCUCAAAAUACUAAAAUUUACCGAUUUCAUUAACAGGGCGGACACUACCAGGCCACCUUUUCCGACCUUUGUUUGGUAGUGUUGUGCCCAACCCUUGCUGGAGACCCAGAAGUAAGGGCCACUAUUGACUUAAGCAAUGUUACCCAGGAUCGCAUACAAGCUGCUGUAGCAGAGGCUGAGGCGAGACUGGCCCUUACAACCGAAUCAAUAGACAGAAAAAAUAGACGUGACCAGCAAGACAGAGAGUACGAAGAAGGGUUAAGAAGAGAUCAAGAGAGGGACCUACAACACCUCGUCGGUGCUGAAGGCGAAGGCAACAUUAGAGUCCGUCUCCGUGGAAGGGACACAACCUUCCAAAGACGUUUCACUGCUUCCGAUACAAACGAGCUCUUGUAUCAAGUGGCCAUUGCCAACCUGCGCGAGAGGAAUAUCACUAUCCGAAAUGCCAGUGGAAGAAUCAUUGAAAGAAAUGACGAUCCUAUUGACGUUGUAGACGCAACGACACUAAUGGUCUUUCAUGACUUGGGUAUACUAGGAGCAAGAAUGGAUGAGAAAAAAGGAAUAAAUGGAAUCAUUUUAUCAAUUUCCAACUUUGUUUACCAUGGUGGCGCGAGGUAAAAAAAAGUUGCCCUCUGCUGUGGACUAGUUGUACAUCCCCUCCUCUCCUGAUUUCGAGCACCUGAAUUCUUUUGUAGGGGGUUACACCACAGAUGGGCCCCCCAGAUGACAUUCGUUUUGACCUUCCCCCUAAGAACCUGUCUAGGCUAAAAAUAGGUUCUUAUUACCAGUUUAUGUUUGUAUUCUUAAUACCG